rnacentral:tRNA from 1 species
UCUAGAAUAGCUUAAAGAUAAAGCGCUGAUUUUGUAACUCAGAGAUAAAUAUUUUUUUUUUCUAGAU